CCUAAAUCAAAUAGUAGUUUUUUAAAAAAAUUACUAAACCUAAUCAACACGAUUUGGAAAGGGGGCUAGAGUCAGAUAUUAUGAUCAGGUGAUGACUAGCUCAAGGAAUUUUUAGAAAUCCCCUUCCCUACCUCCCCAGAAUGUACCCUAUAGCCAAGGUCUCAGCAGCCUACAGGGAAGGAGGCUGAGGAGCACCCGACAUCAGCUCCCCUCACCCCAUUCCCUGCUGCCUCCAACCCCUUUAUGGGUGGUUUCCCAUUUCAUCUUUGAUUUAGGGGUGAGACUGCACUGCACAAGGCUGCCUGCCAGCGGAACCGGGCUGUGUGCCAGCUUCUGGUGGAUGCAGGAGCAUCUCUGAGAAAGACGGACUCCAAGGGUAAGACACCUCAAGAAAGAGCACAGCAGGCUGGGGACCCAGACUUGGCUGCUUACCUAGAAAGCCGUCAGAACUAUAAGGUCAUUGGCCAUGAGGACCUGGAAACUGCUGUUUGACCCUGGUAUUCGGGCAAAGAGAAUGUGAGCAAGCGUAUCACAUCUGCCCUCCCUGUGAUUGGGCAGCUCCCGUGGAAGAAGCUGAUGGAAUUCAUAUAUCUGUCUCUCUCCUGCAAGAAUCUACCUGAGACCAUG
rnacentral:sRNA from 1 species